rnacentral:rRNA from 1 species
ACGCACGCUGGCGGCGUGCCUAAUACCUGCAAGUAGCACGCUGAAGGAGGAGCUUGCUUCUCUGGAUGAGUUGCGAACGGGUGAGUAACGCGUAGGUAACCUGCCUGGUAGCGGGGGAUAACUAUUGGAAACGAUAGCUAAUACCGCAUAAUAGUAGAUGUUGCAUGACAUUUGCUUAAAAGGUGCAAUUGCAUCACUACCAGAUGGACCUGCGUUGUAUUAGCUAGUUGGUGGGGUAACGGCUCACCAAGGCGACGAUACAUAGCCGACCUGAGAGGGUGAUCGGCCACACUGGGACUGAGACACGGCCCAGACUCCUACGGGAGGCAGCAGUAGGGAAUCUUCGGCAAUGGACGGAAGUCUGACCGAGCAACGCCGCGUGAGUGAAGAAGGUUUUCGGAUCGUAAAGCUCUGUUGUAAGAGAAGAACGAGUGUGAGAGUGGAAAGUUCACACUGUGACGGUAUCUUACCAGAAAGGGACGGCUAACUACGUG